ensembl:miRNA
UCUGAUGGCCAGGGGAAUUCCUGGCAGAGUGAUUUUUGAGACUACCGCACUGAAUCACAUUGCCAGGGAUUUCCAAUGGCU